ACGACCAUACCACUCUACGUCCGAUCACCGAAGUUAAGCAAUGUCGAGCCCGGUCAGUACUUGGGAGGGUGACCACUUGGGAACACCGGGUGUAGCUGUAGGUU